rnacentral:tRNA from 1 species
GGGCCGGUGGUCUAGAUUGGCUAUGAUUCUUGGUUUGGGUCCAAGGGAUCGGGAGUUCAAAUCUCCCCCGACCCACCA